rnacentral:rRNA from 1 species
GGAUUAGAUACCCUGGUAGUCCGCACAGUAAACGAUGGAUGCCCGCUGUUAGCGCCUGGCGUUAGCGGCUAAGCGAAAGCAUUAAGCAUCCCACCUGGGGAGUACGCCGGCAACGGUGAAACUCAAAGGAAUUGACGGGGGCCCGCACAAGCGGAGGAACAUGUGGUUUAAUUCGAUGAUACGCGAGGAACCUUACCCGGGCUUGAAUUGCAGAGGAAUUAUUUAGAGAUAAAUAUGCCCUUCGGGGUCUCUGUGAAGGUGCUGCAUGGUUGUCGUCAGCUCGUGCCG